UGGGGAAUUUUGGACAAUGGGGGAAACCCUGAUCCAGCCAUCCCGCGUGUGCGAUGAAGGCCCUCGGGUUGUAAAGCACUUUUGGCAGGAAAGAAACGUCAUGGGUUAAUACCCCGUGAAACUGACGGUACCUGCAGAAUAAGCACCGGCUAACUACGUGCCAGCAGCCGCGGUAAUACGUAGGGUGCAAGCGUUAAUCGGAAUUACUGGGCGUAAAGCGUGCGCAGGCGGUUCGGAAAGAAAGAUGUGAAAUCCCAGAGCUCAACUUUGGAACUGCAUUUUUAACUACCGGGCUAGAGUGUGUCAGAGGGGGGUGGAAUUCCGCGUGUAGCAGUGAAAUGCGGAGAUAUGCGGAGGAACACCGAUGGCGAAGGCAGCCUCCUGGGAUAACACUGACGCUCAUGCACGAAAGCGUGGGGAGCAAACAGG
rnacentral:rRNA from 1 species